ACACAUGCAAGUCGAGGGGCAGCGAGGGAGUGGCAACACUUCUGUCGGCGACCGGCGCACGGGUGAGUAACGCGUAUGCAACCUGCCCUUCACAGGGGGAUAACCGGGAGAAAUUCCGACUAAUACCGCAUACGUCCUCCGGGGGCAUCCCCGGGGGAUGAAAGAGUUAUCGGUGAAGGAUGGGCAUGCGUGAUAUUAGGUAGUUGGCGGGGCAACGGCCCACCAAGCCCACGAUAUCUAGGGGUUCUGAGAGGAAGGUCCCCCACAUUGGUACUGAGACACGGACCAAACUCCUACGGGAGGCAGCAGUGAGGAAUAUUGGUCAAUGGACGAGAGUCUGAACCAGCCAAGUCGCGUGAAGGAAGACGGAUCUAUGGUUUGUAAACUUCUUUAGUGCGGGAACAAAGCGGCGUCGUGACGCCGGAUGAGUGUACCGCAAGAAUAAGCAUCGGCUAACUCCGUGCCAGCAGCCGCGGUAAUACGGAGGAUGCGAGCGUUAUCCGGAUUUAUUGGGUUUAAAGGGAGCGCAGGCUGCGAGGCAAGUCAGCGGUCAAAUGUCGGGGCUCAACCCCGGCCUGCCGUUGAAACUGUUUUGCUAGAGUUCGAGUGAGGUAUGCGGAAUGCGUUGUGUAGCGGUGAAAUGCAUAGAUAUGACGCAGAACUCCGAUUGCGAAGGCAGCAUACCAACUCGCGACUGACGCUGAGGCUCGAAAGCGUGGGUAUCGAACAGGAUUA
rnacentral:rRNA from 1 species